AGNNNACCCCCUAAUUGGAAAGCAUUUGCGGAGAAUGUUUUCAUUAAUCAAGAACGAAAGUUAGAGGUUCGAAGGCGAUCAGAUACCGCCCUAGUUCUAACCAUAAACGAUGCCAACCAGUAAUCCGUGGCGUUACAAAUGACCUGGCGAGCAACUUCCGGGAAACCAAAGUUGCUAGGUUCCGGGGGAAGUAUGGUUGCAAAGCCGAAACUUAAAGGAAUUGACGGAAGGGCACCACCAGGAGUGGAGCCUGCGGCUUAAUUUGACUCAACACGGGAAACCUCACCGGGCCCGGACACUGUGAUGAUUGACAGAUUGAUAGCUCUUUCUUGAUUCAAUGGGUGGUGGUGCAUGGCCGUUCUUAGUUGGUGGAGCGAUUUGUCUGGUUAAUUCCGAUAACGAACGAGACCCUACCCUACUAAAUAGACGGCAGAUCUUAUUAGUCCUGCCGACUUCUUAGAGGGACAGGUGGCGUUUAGCCACACGAGAUUGGGCAAUAACAGGUCUGUGAUGCCCUUAGAUGUUCUGG
rnacentral:rRNA from 1 species